AAGUUACAUUUAAAAUGAUAUGAUUACUUCAGCUCUUGAGAUAUAAAGACAUGGGCCUACAGGAAAGGGAAAUAACUCUUGUGUGUGCGUGUGUGUGUGUGGUGUGUGUGACGCAAGCUUGUGUUUAAUGUUUGUGUGACGUGUGUGUGAGAUACCGUUGUCUGGGCGACUAGUUAACUUCACAAAUGCUAAACGAAUGAAAACAACACUCCUUUGUUGACAGAGGAUCAAACUUAGUUGAGUAUCAAAUGCCCAAACGUCAGUCACUCGUCAGAUGACACAGAUGCCUGCUGACAGUGGGUAUAAACAGCAAAACUAGAUAAUGAUGUUUAAUAGAAGCACUGCUGUGAAAACUAUUGUUGUUUAAUUAACCUCGACACCACUGGCAGUUGGAGUAUAAGUGAUGGGUUGACUGUCCUGAUGUCAGACUACUGCUAGACUGUGAUGCUGAUGUUGAUGUUUAUGGUCACGUGCUGAUGAGGUGAGAGAACAGGUGCUGGCUCCCUAGCAAACAGCUGAGGCACAGUGUGUUUGUCAGUCGUGUGAAGAAUCUGGUUAUACUGAGUACAUCAUGGUCUCCAUUUGUGAUACAGCACACCCACCCUCGCACAUACAGAUGACUCGGCAGCUGACAGACACGUUGUUAGUACGGCAACAAGAUCGAUAACCGUGGCGACUCCACUGCUCUCUUCAAGACGAAAUGAAUUCAAUUAAUAAGGGACAACUCCUUCCACGUCCUGACAUGGCCACUGAUGUGCAGGCAGCGAAUUUGUCUGCCCCUGCAGCCUCCGACAGCAUCGCCAGGGACGUUAGGGACACCACUUCCCUAUUAUUAGUAUCCUUAUUUACACAGAUUCUUUCUCUCUCUCACCCUUCUUUCCUUCCUAUCAGCUGCCCCCCUUCUCUCCCACAUCCGCUUUUAGAGGAGAUGAAAAAAUAAAGCAGAAUAUUUUCACUGACGUCUGAAAAAUAUCACGUGAUCUGAAACCAGCAAGAAUCGCGAUGUAGUGCGAGAGCAUUAAAAGCAAACACCUCGGCUAAAGAGGAGAAGGUAUAAUCUCCGACUGAAUGUGUAAAACAUGUUUGCAGCUAGUCAACUGUUUGAGGUAUGUUUUUAUUGUCAAGUAACAUCCGGCCGGUAGUGUGCGACAAACAAGAUUGAUUUAGAGGAUAUUUAAAAAUAAUAUUUGAGGCUAGGCAUGAAGAAAAAUAGUUUUUGGCGCACGGCACGUGAGCUAAUUGUGCGAUCUGCCUGCACUGACACCUGGGGCUUUAGCUAUGGAGGACUAUCGGUGCUUCCUGUGUUUUGAGGGCUUGUGGUGUUGUUUUUGUUUUCUUCUCUUCCUUAAUCUCCCGGCUGCAGGAAACAUCUCAGAGGCUUUACUUGUGCGUGUAGCUCGAGCGAGAAAGGCAAGAUGGCGGCCGUAACUCUCCGGGUCUGCGUCAGGCUCCUGCUUCCUGUCCUCUGUGGAUGCUUCACUACAGCUUAGUUAGGGUCCUCGCACGCAAUCUCAUUCACUAAGAAAGAAGCUGUUGUUUCUAUCAAAACUCUGGUUUCUAAGGAAACUAGUCUCGAUGGAGGAAAAAAUACAUUUACUUCUUUGGCUUCGGUAAACAAAUUUGAACUCGCUUUCUUUACAAG